GGUUCCACCAUAUGUCAGACUGGAUCUGGCUCAGAUAAGGGUACAGACGUUAAACUCUGGAAGGAAUGUGCAGUUUCCCCAGGACGUGUGCAAUGUGUAUUGUAGAAGGGGGAAAAGAAAUGCAAACAAAACAUGCUACUUGAUUAAAACCCUGUUAGGGCUACCAAAGGAGCCCCCAAAGGCUGAGUUUCCUUGGUCAGUUCGCUGGGUGUUUUGGAAGCAGGAGUUGAAAGUGAAAAGUCCUCAGAACUCGGAUGGAAGUUGCCUGUGUCCCUUUUUAGACAGAGGCUCUGAGCUCUGCGGAGGCUGUGGAGCCAAAGGCCGGCCAGAAAGCGUCUGUGUGGAUGCAAAUCGCCUGACUGGUAAAGAAAGAAAAGAACUGCCCAGAGACGGCAGCACCAAGGAGCUGCGGAUAAAGGACAGACCUGGUCCGCAGACAAACCACCCGGAACCCAAGGGCUCAAAUUCUGACCCUCCAGAAGAAGGUGGGAAAGAAAGUCAAACCUAAAGCUGAAAAAGGAACAGGGUGAAGAAACCAGAGCUGCAGAAGGGCGGAGGCCGAGGAAGGCCCGUCUGUUACCAGGGACACAUCCUCAGGCAGCAGACGCCAUAUUAGGAGGGACUGGUUUUAAAGCAGGAAUUGGAAAGACUAUAAAGCUGGAGGUAAUUAAAAAUAAGUUUCUUGUCACAACUGCAAAACAGUCUCCUUCCCAGGCAGGCAGAUACGUAGGAGAUAAAACAGCCUUGGCCACAGGACGCAGGGAUGCGAAUUCUUAGUUUAGCGUCACUUAAGCAUGAAAUGUUUUGGGUGACAUCCGGGAAUGUUCGGGGAUUAACGCAACUUUUAAAACAACAACAGAAGUCCUUGUUUAACACCUACAGAUAUAAAUGAGGGCAAUGUGUUUCCAGUGUGGUUAAUGGUCAUUUGUCAUUAGGUAAAAUGAGUGUUAAAAUUGCUCACCAACAGUCUAUAAAAACAGAAACAUAAAGUGGCCCCGUUCCCAAAAUUGACCAUGGAAUCCUUUGGGCUACCCCAGGUUAUAGGUCAGUGGGCUAACCCCCCCCAAAGAAUGAUUGGCCACCCUUGGGUGUACAGAGUAAAACCCUCAGAAAUGGGUGUGCUUGUCACCUGUCACCACGAAACCAUGUAGCAAAAAUACCUGAUUGGAAACGUGUGUAAGACAAACUAAAAAAUGGAACGCGUGUUUUGUACACCGGCCAGUGUGUAAGUGUUACAUGCUGGAACACAGGAUUUGGGGAGGAUGCAAGUACCAGCCAACCCGCAGUGGAUGAAUGUAGGUGUAAUGCCCGUGUGUUAGAUACUAGCAAUCACACGCACUAGUGCCCAGAGACGGGAGAAGCACAGAGCACUGUUACCGCCACCCCGGUUAAUUUUUCUGUUUUCCAACCGACACAGAGGGCUAUAGAGAAGCGCGCCAUAUAAAGAUUAUGUGCCAAUGGAGACAUGCUAAAAAUGGCUAAGUCUGAAAGAGAACGGGCAGCCUGUCCCUGGUGUGACGUUUUUCCAGGCUGGCCCCCGCCCUCUAAGGGCAAAUUGUCUAUUAUGUUUCACCCAUUACUAGUCGGGUUAAUAGUGUCCUGUCUUUGCUUGCUAGGAACGUGUUGUACGUGUUGUUGGACAAAAAGAAAGUUUGUUAAAUUACAACCACAAGCUCAAAUGGCCUCUCAGUAUAUUGCUAUGAAAUAGUUGUAUCAAAUAAGACCCACUCGAGGAUUGUUCUUGAGGCGUCAAAAGGGGGACGUGUAAUAGUAGGAUCUUAUGUUUGUAUUUUGUAUAAUUCUGUGUCUGAGCUGAUUUCAAGGCAGUGACAGACCUUUGAGGGUCACCACAUGGCUGUAGGCUUGUAGAAGUAAAAGAAUGCCGGAUUGUUUUCCUCUGCA